AGUGAACGCUGGCGGUAGGCCUAACACAUGCAAGUCGAACGGCAGCACAGGAGAGCUUGCUCUCUGGGUGGCGAGUGGCGGACGGGUGAGGAAUACAUCGGAAUCUACUCUGUCGUGGGGGAUAACGUAGGGAAACUUACGCUAAUACCGCAUACGACCUACGGGUGAAAGCAGGGGAUCUUCGGACCUUGCGCGAUUGAAUGAGCCGAUGUCGGAUUAGCUAGUUGGCGGGGUAAAGGCCCACCAAGGCGACGAUCCGUGGCUGGUCUGAGAGGAUGGUCAGGCACACUGGAACUGAGACACGGUCCAGGCUCCUACGGGAGGCAGCAGUGGGGAAUAUUGGACAAUGGGAGCAAGCCUGAUCCAGCCAUACCGCGUGGGUGAAGAAGGCCUUCGGGUUGUAAAGCCCUUUUGUUGGGAAAGAAAUCCAGCUGGCUAAUACCCGGUUGGGAUGACGGUACCCAAAGAAUAAGCACCGGCUAACUUCGUGCCAGCCGCCGCGGUAA
rnacentral:rRNA from 1 species